rnacentral:rRNA from 1 species
AGCGUACACGGUGGAUGCCCUGGCAGUCAGAGGCGAUGAAGGACGUGCUAAUCUGCGAAAAGCGUCGGUAAGGUGAUAUGAACCGUUAUAACCGGCGAUGUCCGAAUGGGGAAACCCAGUGCAAUUCGUUGCACUAUCGUUAACUGAAUACAUAGGUUAACGAGGCGAACCGGGGGAACUGAAACAUCUAAGUACCCCGAGGAAAAGAAAUCAACCGAGAUUCCCCCAGUAGCGGCGAGCGAACGGGGAGCAGCCCAGAGUCUGAAUCAGCUUGUGUGUUAGUGGAACGGUCUGGAAAGUCCGACGGUACAGGGUGAUAGUCCCGUACACCAAAAUGCACAGGUUGUGAACUCGAAGAGUAGGGCGGGACACGUGGUAUCCUGUCUGAAUAUGGGGGGACCAUCCUCCAAGGCUAAAUACUCCUGACUGACCGAUAGUGAACCAGUACCGUGAGGGAAAGGCGAAAAGAACCCCGGCGAGGGGAGUGAAAAAGAACCUGAAACCGUGUACGUACAAGCAGUGGGAGCACCUUCGGGUGUGACUGCGUACCUUUUGUAUAAUGGGUCAGCGACUUAUAUUCUGUAGCAAGGUUAACCGUAUAGGGGAGCCGCAGGGAAACCGAGUCUUAACUGGGCGUUAAGUUGCAGGGUAUAGACCCGAAACCCGGUGAUCUAGCCAUGGGCAGGUUGAAGGUUGGGUAACACUAACUGGAGGACCGAACCGACUAAUGUUGAAAAAUUAGCGGAUGACUUGUGGCUGGGGGUGAAAGGCCAAUCAAACCGGGAGAUAGCUGGUUCUCCCCGAAAGCUAUUUAGGUAGCGCCUCGUGAACUCAUCUUCGGGGGUAGAGCACUGUUUCGGCUAGGGGGUCAUCCCGACUUACCAACCCGAUGCAAACUACGAAUACCGAAGAAUGUUAUCACGGGAGACACACGGCGGGUGCUAACGUCCGUCGUGAAGAGGGAAACAACCCAGACCGCCAGCUAAGGUCCCAAAGUCAUGGUUAAGUGGGAAACGAUGUGGGAAGGCACAGACAGCCAGGAUGUUGGCUUAGAAGCAGCCAUCAUUUAAAGAAAGCGUAAUAGCUCACUGGUCGAGUCGGCCUGCGCGGAAGAUGUAACGGGGCUAAACCAUGCACCGAAGCUGCGGCAGCGACACUAUGUGUUGUUGGGUAGGGGAGCGUUCUGUAAGCCUGCGAAGGUGGCCUGUGAGGGCUGCUGGAGGUAUCAGAAGUGCGAAUGCUGACAUAAGUAACGAUAAAGCGGGUGAAAAGCCCGCUCGCCGGAAGACCAAGGGUUCCUGUCCAACGUUAAUCGGGGCAGGGUGAGUCGACCCCUAAGGCGAGGCCGAAAGGCGUAGUCGAUGGGAAACAGGUUAAUAUUCCUGUACUUGGUGUUACUGCGAAGGGGGGACGGAGAAGGCUAUGUUAGCCGGGCGACGGUUGUCCCGGUUUAAGCAUGUAGGCGGAGGUUCCAGGUAAAUCCGGUACCUUUUAACGCUGAGGUGUGAUGACGAGGCACUACGGUGCUGAAGUAACAAAUGCCCUGCUUCCAGGAAAAGCCUCUAAGCAUCAGGUAACAUUAAAUCGUACCCCAAACCGACACAGGUGGUCAGGUAGAGAAUACCAAGGCGCUUGAGAGAACUCGGGUGAAGGAACUAGGCAAAAUGGUGCCGUAACUUCGGGAGAAGGCACGCUGGUGUGUAGGUGAAGUCCCUGCGGAUGGAGCUGAGACCAGUCGAAGAUACCAGCUGGCUGCAACUGUUUAUUAAAAACACAGCACUGUGCAAACACGAAAGUGGACGUAUACGGUGUGACGCCUGCCCGGUGCCGGAAGGUUAAUUGAUGGGGUUAUCCGUAAGGAGAAGCUCUUGAUCGAAGCCCCGGUAAACGGCGGCCGUAACUAUAACGGUCCUAAGGUAGCGAAAUUCCUUGUCGGGUAAGUUCCGACCUGCACGAAUGGCGUAAUGAUGGCCAGGCUGUCUCCACCCGAGACUCAGUGAAAUUGAACUCGCUGUGAAGAUGCAGUGUACCCGCGGCAAGACGGAAAGACCCCGUGAACCUUUACUAUAGCUUGACACUGAACAUUGAGCCUUGAUGUGUAGGAUAGGUGGGAGGCUUUGAAGCGUGGACGCCAGUCUGCGUGGAGCCAACCUUGAAAUACCACCCUUUAAUGUUUGAUGUUCUAACGUUGGCCCCUAAUCGGGGUUGCGGACAGUGUCUGGUGGGUAGUUUGACUGGGGCGGUCUCCUCCCAAAGAGUAACGGAGGAGCACGAAGGUUAGCUAAUCCUGGUCGGACAUCAGGAGGUUAGUGCAAUGGCAUAAGCUAGCUUGACUGCGAGCGUGACGGCGCGAGCAGGUGCGAAAGCAGGUCAUAGUGAUCCGGUGGUUCUGAAUGGAAGGGCCAUCGCUCAACGGAUAAAAGGUACUCCGGGGAUAACAGGCUGAUACCGCCCAAGAGUUCAUAUCGACGGCGGUGUUUGGCACCUCGAUGUCGGCUCAUCACAUCCUGGGGCUGAAGUAGGUCCCAAGGGUAUGGCUGUUCGCCAUUUAAAGUGGUACGCGAGCUGGGUUUAGAACGUCGUGAGACAGUUCGGUCCCUAUCUGCCGUGGGCGCUGGAGAAUUGAGGGGGGCUGCUCCUAGUACGAGAGGACCGGAGUGGACGCAUCACUGGUGUUCGGGUUGUCAUGCCAAUGGCACUGCCCGGUAGCUAAAUGCGGAAGAGAUAAGUGCUGAAAGCAUCUAAGCACGAAACUUGCCCCGAGAUGAGUUCUCCCUGAGACUAUAAGUCUCCUGAAGGAACGUUGAAGACGACGACGUUGAUAGGCCGGGUGUGUAAGCGCAGCGAUGCGUUGAGCUAACCGGUACUAAUGAACCGUGAGGCUUAACC